AAAGGACUACACCCUAACUCUUGAACACAUUAUAUACAUUACACACUUGACACACACCUUAGGGAGGGAAGACCCACUUCAUCUUCUUCAUUUUUGAAGAAGAUAACAACAACUAAAAACCCUAAAACCACCACAGUCAGCCCCAUCGUCCGUCACGACCAUUCCCGUCCAAACGACCCUCUUCUUUCAUUGAACCACCAUCACUGCCCGCCACUGUGGCGUCCAAACGACUCCAUGUGAAGCAGCGAGCUGCUGCUUCAUCCCCAUCGUCCUCAUUCCAUCAACCCACGUCUCAAACAGUCCACUGCAUCGUCCAAACCUCCAGCUAACGUCCCCCGAAAACAAACAGCGAACCACUGUCUGUUCGGCCCUUCGUGUCCAAAUGACCACCUAGAAAAACCAGUAGCAGCCACGACUCAUUUUCAGUCCGUUCGGUUCGUCAAUUCGGCGUCGAGGUGACAGUGGUUUCGAGGUCAGGUCAUUUCCGUCGAGGGCCAAUUACUUUUCCGAUCAAGGCCGCUAGAGCUUAAAGAAAUUUCUAAUCUGGUUUUGAGUUGUCCGGCUUCCGGCCAAUGGGUUCUGUUAGAGAUCCGGUCGAUGGUCCUAGUUGCAGUCCUAUUUCUCGAGCACAUGUGGCUUCAGUGAAAAUUUCACUGAUUGUUCUUCAAUAAUACAAAACAAAAGGUCCUUUCUUCAGCUUUCAGAUUAUUUUGUAUAUUUAAUAUGUUUUUUUUUUGUGUGAACGUUUAAGCUUAAUUAUUUUCAUCUCUGUUUAAAUUUCUUACAUGUGAUUUGGAUCAUUUUCUAUCCAUUUUGAUGAUAUUGGGUUUAUUAUGUUGAUUUAUCAAAGGUUGGACAUGGAUAACUGAGGGACUUAGAAUGUCCAUGAUUAUGGCUUAAUGAGAGAAUUACAUAAUGUAGGCAGACUGCUAGUGCUCCUAUUUCGUUUGCAUCUGUGUGUAUAUAACUCAGUGUUGGUUGUUUUGGUCGCAUUAACUCGUAAGGUCCUUCUGUCAAGAGAAUAAAUCGAAUUCCUUUCCAACAGCCUGCACAUGCGUAGUUUUUCUUGUACAUUAAUUGUGGACUGAAUUUAUAUGUGUUUCAUGAAAAUUCGUACGUUGGUUGCAUAAUCAGAGGUGCUUGUCUAUUUGUGAUAACCUAGGUAGUCAAAGUUGUUCUUUUAAUGGCCCUUUGUUAAUAAGUGUAUACUUUUAAUAAAUCUACUUUCGUAAGAUCGGGCACAUUUACGUGAUUCAAAUCCAAAUUUCAAACGCCAUUGGAAUAUGCCAAAAGCUACGGGUGCCAUGAUUUGAGAUGUUUUAAAUAACCUUGAUUUUUUUCUAAAAUGUUAAAAGCCCCAUUUAAAUAAUAACACCAUUUUUGCUUUAACUUUUACUUUUACUUUAACUUUGAUUUUUGCAAGCUUUAGCUUUAUUAAAAUAAUGAUAAUAAUAACAAAAGCGGUUAAAAGAAUCAUGACUUGCACUAAGUACAUAGUUUUUAAAAUCAGAUAAAUAAGUCGAAUAUAACAGUUGAGCGACCGUGAUAGAACUACGGAACUCGGGAAUGCCUAACACCUUCUCUCGGGUUAACAGAAUUCCUUAUCCAAAUUUCUGGUACGCAGACUGUAAUAUAGAUCAUUCUUUUCCUCGAUUCGGGAUUCAACCGGUGACUUGGGACACCAUAAAUCUUCCAAGUGGCGACUCUGAAUUAAAUAAAAUAAUCUCAUUUCGAUUGUCCUUUAAUUGAAAAAAACACCCAUAAUCCCUUGCGCCCCCUGGUUGUAGAAAAAAGGAGGUGUGACAAUAUAUGCAAUAGCAAAAAAAAUAUACAGAACUUAAACAACUUAAAGGUAGGGGAGCAUGAUAUGGGGUGUAACAAUUCAGAUAUAGGAUCAACGAACAAAGAAAUGAAACUGUACAAUAACAUCAAUUAAAUAGAACAGGUAAAUCAACAACUGCACGGCACCAUCCUUCGUGAUUUUACUCUCUUUAUCACCAAAAUAGUCAAAUAAAGUACACGGCAUUACCCUUUGUGCUUUUCCUCACAUAAUUCUCAUAUCAAGGCACAGAAUGAUCCUUUCGUCCUUAAUUAUUCAAAAUAUGGAAUGGAAUGAUCCUUCAUGCAUAAUUAUCAAAAUAUGGCACGGAAUUACCCUUCGUGCAUAAUUAUCAAAAUAAUGGCACGGAAUAAGCCUUCGUGCAUAAUCUCUCAUCCUCACCCAAUCAACAGUUACAAUCAAUCGGUGUGAGGGGGUAAACAACAAUAUUAAACAUCCCGGCAUGGGAGAACAAAUAACCAAAUAAGUCCUAGCAAGGGUACCACAAAUAGCUCAAAUAUCCCGGCAAGGGAGAAUACAUAUAAUACUUAAAUCCAGGCAAGGGAGCAACAACAAUUAUAGACUACACGUCCUGGCAAGGGAAUAAUUACAACACUUUCUCUUUUGGUCACUUCUUUCCCAAUUACCAUAUUCUCGUUCGAGCCAACGAUUCAAUAAUGUACAAAUCAUAAUCUUCUUCAAACCUUUCACAUUAUAUGAAACUUAUUAAUUUAACAAGGAAGAGGUUUCAUAAAAGUCCGCAUAAACACAAUUAAGACUCAUGGUCAUGCUAGACUCCGGUGUAUAGAUACUCGUCACCAUGCCUAUACACCAUACUCAACAAUUAGAAAAAGGCAAAAAACAUCCUAAUUCUAUUCCCUCAAGCCAAAGUUAUAACAAACACUUACCUCGAAUGCUCCAAACCCAACUCAAACAUCUAGUAUAGCUUUACCCCUCGAAUUCAUUACCAAACCGCUCGAAUCUAGUCAUAAUUUUCUAGAAUGUGUUAACAAAUGCUACUUGAAUCAAUUUGAAUGCAUGAAAAUGAAUUUCCAGAGUUUUACUCAAAAAUUCCCAAAUUUCCCAAAAUACCCACGUGGUCAAAACCCGAGGUUCGAAUCAAAACCCGAUUACCUAUAUCCCCAUGAGCACAUAUAUAUAAGUUAUUUUGGAAUCGGACCUCGAAUUGAGGUCUAAAACCCCAAAUUUUGGAAACCUUAGGCUCUACCCUAAAUUCCCAAAUUUCCCCAUUAAAAUAUUAGUUUUGAAAUAAAAUUAUGUUUAAAGACGUUAAGGAGUAAAGAAAAUAAGCUACAAAUCACUUACCACUCAUUUUGAAGAAAGAUAAUCGUUUAGAAAAUCGUCUCUUAUGUUUUGGGUUUUGAAAAAGUGAAAAUCAGUGAAAAUCCCGACUUUAUAUACUUUACUGAAGGUUGAUGCGGACCAUAAAAAAAUAUACUGCGGCCGCACCGAGGAAGGGAAGAAAAAAAGUCUCUCAGAACCUACCCAGCUCAAACCGCACUGAUUUGGUGCGCGGCCGCGCUGGUCCAUCUGGAAUUCACUCACUCUCUGAACUUAGCCAUGUAGACCAUGCAGAAAUGCACCGCGGCCGCACGGCUUCCAGCGUGGACCGCACGGAAAUGACGGCGUCCGCACUGGGGUCAUGCAACACCUAUACCUGCAACAUCUGAUACUUUUAAGUCUAAGACCUCCCAGGACCCACUCAAAACUCACCUGAGCCCUCGGGCUCCAAACCAAACAUACAUAUAACCUCAAAAAUAUCCUACGGACUUUCUCGUGCGAUUACAUCACCAAAAUACCAUCAUAAAUGAGGAAUCAACCUCAAAAUCAUCAUUUUUCAUUCAAACUUCUUAAACUUUCAAACUUAGAGAUUUAGGCCCGAAACACGUCAAAUGACGUCCUAAUUCGACCAAAUUACACAGAAAUGUCUUAAUAUAUAUAUAAGGCAUCUAUUGGGCGCCGAAACCAGAAUACGAGCCCUAUACCAGUACUUUCUAAUCCAAUUUCAUUUCAAAUUUCUCAUAUUCAUUUCAGAAAACAAUUUCUUUCAAAUAUUCAUUACUCUGGCUCGGGACCUUUAGUUUCGAUACCAGACAUACGCCCGAGUCGCCUAUUUUUCUACCAACUCUCCGGGACCGUCACAUCACGGGUUCGGGUCCGUUUACCCAAAAUGUUGAGCAAAGUCAACUUUAAUAAUUGUAGAUCCAAAUGUCUAGCAACGUUUCACAACAUUAACAUAUAAGCUUUCCGGCUACGCGCGCAUGCAAAUCGAGUAAACCCUAAUCGAGGUUUUCAAGACCUCGAAGAUAUAGAAUGGGUGAGAAUUCCGGUGAUGACCCCUUUGGAUCGUCACAUUCUCCACCUCUAAAAUAAUUGUUCGUCCUCGAACGGAAAUAAGAAGGGAGUACGUGAGUCAGGAAAAAGAUGGGGAUAACAGCUCGGCAUAUCAGACUCGGACUCCCAGGUCGAUGCCUUCGGAGGCUGACCUCUCCACUGGACAUGCACUAAAGGAAAACUCUUCGACAUCAACUAUCAAACCUACCGGUCUAGAAUGGCUACCAGCUCCUCCUCUAAGAUAGAUCCUUGUCCAACUGGACAAUGCUGAAAUCUAACACGUGGGCUAGAUCACCUUGAUACUUCCGAAGCAUGGAUACGUGAAAAACUGGAUGCACGGCUGACAAGUUAGGUGGCAAGGCAAGUCAAUAAGCCACCUCUCCCACACGAUCGAGAAUCUAAAAUGGACCAAUGAACCUAGGGCUAAGCUUGCCCUUCUUCCCGAAUCGCAUCACGCCCUACAUGGGUGACAGUUGGAGCAAUACUCGCUCACCAACCAUGAAAGCCACAUCUCGAACUUUGCGAUCUGCAUAACUCUUCUACCUAGAUUGAGCUGUCUGAAGUCUGUCCUGAAUAAUCUUGACCUUAUCGAAGGCCUCAUGAACUAGAUUUGUACCCAAUAACCGAGCCUCUCACGAAUCAAACCAUCCAACUAGAGACCGACAUCGCCUACCAUACAACGCCUUAUAUGGAGCCAUCUGAAUGCUGGACUGGUAGCUAUUGUUGUAGGCGAACUCUACUAAAGGCAAAAACUGGUCCCAUGAGCCUCCGAAAUCAAUGACACGGGCUCGGAGCAUAUCCUCUAGUAUCUUAAUAGUUCGCUCGGACUGACCGACCAUUUGAGGAUGGAAUGCUAUGCUCAAGUAAACCUGGGUGCCCAAAACUUCUGCUGGACUGCUCUCCUGAAGUCCGAGGUAAACUACGUACCCCAGUCUGAUAUGAUAGAUACCGGCACCCCAUGAAGGUGAACAAUCUCUUGGAUGUAGAUCUUGCUAACCUCUCUGAGGAAAAGUCGCUACAACGGGAAUAAAAUGCGCUGACUUGGUCAACCUACAAUAAUGACCCAAAUCGCAUCAAACUUCUUCCGGGUCAUCGGAAGUCCAGUAACAAAAUCCAUAGUAACCCUCUUCCACUUCCACUCGGGAAGCUCAAUCCUCUGAAAUAAACCGCUAGGCCUCUGAUAUUCAUAUUUAAGCAACUGACAAUUCAAACAUCGAGUCACAUAUGCCACAAUAUCUUUCUUCAUUCUACGCCACCAAUAGUGCUGCCUCAUAUCCUGAUACAUCUUCGCGACGCCCGGAUAUAUAGAAUACCGAGAACUAUAGGCCUCCGCUAGGAUAAAAUAUCGAACCCCAUCAACAUUGGGCACACACACUCGCCCCUCCAAUCUUAAAACACCAUCACCAUCUAAGGUAACCUUAUUGGAACCUCUAUGAUGCACCGUGUCUCUCAUGACACACAAAUGGGGAUCAUCAAACUGCCCCUCACGGAUACGCUUGAACAACGACGAACAAGAGACCGUGCAAGCUGACACCCUGUUAGGCUCAGAAAUAUCCAACCUCACAAAUCGAUUGGCCAAUGCAUGAACAUCCAAGGCAAGCGGUCUCUGGCUGACCGGAAUAUAGGUAGGAAUACCACGCUGGCGGAGUUCCUACUCAAUGCAUCGGCCACCACAUUGGCCUUCCCUUGGUUAUACAAGAUAGUAACAUCAUAAUCCUUCAACAAAUCUAACCACCUUAUCUACCUCUAAUUCAACUCUUUCUGCUUGAACAGAUACUGAAGACUCUUGUGAUCAGUGUAAACCUCACACGUCACACCAUAUAGGUAAUGCCUCCAAAUCUUAAAGGCGUGAACAAUGGCUGCCAACUCAAGAUCAUGAACCGAAAUUCUUCUCAUAGAUCUUCAACUGCCUUGAAGCAUAGGCAAUGACCUUGCCAUCCUGCAACAAUACUGCAUCGAGCCCAAUGCGGGAAGAAUGCCGAAUAUAGGUAAGACUACCUAUGUUGGCUGACUCCUACUCAAUGCAUCGGCUACUACAUUGGCCUUCCCCGGGUGAUACAAGAUGGUAACAUCAUAAUAUUUCAAUAAAUCCAACCACCUCCUCUGCCUCUGAUUCAACUCAUUCUUCUUGAAUAGAUACUGAAGACUCUUGUGAUCAGUGUAAACCUCACACGUCACACCAUAUAGGUAAUGCCUCCAAAUCUUCAAAGCAUGAAAAAUGGCUGCCAACUCAAGAUCAUGAGCCGAAUAAUUCCUCUCAUGGAUCUUCAACUUCCUCGAAGCAUAGGCAAUGACUUUGCCGUCCUGCAUUAAUACUGCGCCAAGACCAAUACGGGAAGCAUCACAAUAAAUUGUAUAAGGUCCUGAACCCGUGGAAAAAACCAAUACUGGUGCCGUAGUCAGAGCCGUCUUGAGCCUCUGGAAGCUCUCCUCACACUCAUCUGAACAUCUGAACUGGGCAUCCUUCUGGGUCAAUCUGGUCAUUGGCGCUGCAAUAGAUGAAAACCCCUCCACGAACCAAUGGUAGUAACCUUUUACCCCGAGAAACUCCGGAUCUCUGUAGCUGAUGCUGGUCGAGGCCAGUUCUUGACUGCCUUAAUCUUUUUCGGGUCCACCUGAAUACCCUUUGCUAAAAUAACGUUACCCAAAAAGGGAACCGAACUCAACCAGAACUCGCACUUCGAAAACUUGGCAUAUAACUGACUAUCCUUCAAAGUCUGAAGAACCACUCUGAGGUGCUGCUCGUGCUCCUCCCGACUACGAGAGUAUAUCAGAAUAUUGUAAAUGAAAAUAAUCACAAACAAAUCCAAAUAGGGCCUAAACACUCGGUUCAUCAACUCCAUAAAUGUUGCGAGGGCAUUUGUCAACCCAAAUGACAUGAACAAAAACUCAUAAUGCCCAUACUGAGUGCAAAAUGUUGUCUUAGGGACAUCAGAUCCCUAAUCCUCAGUUGAUGGUAUCCAAACCUCAAAUCUAUGUUUGAAAGACAAGUUUGCACCCUGAAUCUGGUCAAAUAAAUCGUCGAUCCUUGGCAGUGGAUACUUGUUCUUUAUCGUCACCUUGUUCAAUUGCCGGCAAUCAAUGCAUAUCCUCAUCGACCUAUCCUUUUUCUUCACAAGUAACACCGGCGCACCCUAAGGUGAUACACUAGGUCUAAUGAAACCCUUAUAAAACAAAUCCUGCAAUUGAUCCUUCAACUCUUUCAACUCUGGAGGGGCCAUGCAAUACAGCAGAAUAGAAAUGGGCUGAGUGGCUGGAGCCAGAUCAAUACAAAAAUAAUAUCCCCAUUGGGCGGCAUAUCCAAUAGGUCUGAAGGGAAAACCUCGGGGAACUCCCGAAUAAUAGGAACAGAAUCAAUGGACGGGACCUCUGCGCUGGAGUUACGAACGUACACCAAAGUAAGCUAGACACCCCUUCUCUACCAUGCGUCGAGCUUUCACAUAUGAUAUAACUCUGCGGGUGGCAGGACUUGGGGUCCCUCUCCACUCUAGUCGGGAAAAAUCUGGCAAAGCCAAUGUCACAGUCUUGGCGUGACAAUCCAAGAUAGUAUAAUACGAGGACAAACGAUCCAUCUCCAAUAUAACGUCGAAGUCCACCAUGUAUAAGAGAAAUAAAUCAAUACGAUUCUCAAGACCCUCAAAUACUACCACAGAGGAACGAUGCACUUAGCCUCGACCUUGCCCUCUGCCCCUGAUAGGAGCUAUUGUUGGAGGCUCGGGCUGCAGCGCGGUAGAAAAGGAAGCACACGUUCUCGCCAUCUACAAACAAAUAGAGUAGAAAGACAAUCAGUACUUGAGAAACAUAAUCUCACGGCAAGAAUGAAUGAAGUGAAAUUUUCCUAACUCUAUAGCCUUUGAGGAAUAAACAUACACGUCUCUGUACUGAUCCCUAAAACUCUACUGAGUUUUUCUGUGAGUUGUGAGACCUAUGUAACCUAGUGCUCAGAUACCAACUUAUCACGAACCGAAUUUUCCAUCAUCGGGAGUCGUGAUGACGCCUACUAUAAGGAUCUAGGCAGGCCAACAUUUAAACAUUUUUAAUUAACAUUUGCGGUAAUGUAGAUAAACGAAAAAAUUAAAUAAAGCGGAAGUCGUUAAACUUAUAUAACUGGAAAAAAAAUGCGAAAGUCUGAAUACACCUCUACCCAGUGUUUGGUGUCACUACUCACGAACUGCUAUAGAAUACUAAAACAAAAGUCUGAAUAAAAUACGUCAGUGUUUGUAUCAAUACAAAGAAAAACAAAUUAAUGAGAGAGGGUUUCCGGCCUGCGGACGUCAGCUACGCUAACUCGCAAGUCCCUGGACUGAAGGAUAACUCCCGAUCAAUACUAUUAUUGUGGUCCAAAAGCUGCUCCUAGAUCUGUGCAAAGAGAUGCACAUAGAGUAGCAUUAGCCCAACCGACCUCAUGUGCUGGUAAUUGCUUGGCCUAACCCCGGUUAAGUAGUGAUGAGGCUAGCCAGGACCUACUGAGAACAACAUGUGGAGAUAUAUAUGUUAUAGCGGAAAAAAAGUACAGAACUUCAACAACUAAGAGGGAGGGGAGCAUGUUAUGGGGUGUAACAAUUCAGAUAUAGGAUUAACGAACAAAGAAAUGGAACUGUGCAAUAACAUCAAUUAAAAAGAACAUGAAUCAAUAACUGCACGGCACCAACCUCCGUGCAAUUACUCUCUUUCUCACCAAAACAGUCUAAUAAAGUGCACAUCAUUACCCUUUGUGCUUUUCCUCAUAUAACUCUCCUAUCAAGGCACGGAAUGACCCUUGUGCUCAAUUAUUCAAAACAUGAUACGGAAUAACCUUUUGUGCAUAAUUAUAAAAAUAUGGCACGGAAUAACCCUUCGUGAAUAAUUAUAAAAACAUGGCACGGAAUGAACAUUCGUGCAUAAUUAUCAAAACAAUGGAACAGAAUGACCCUUCGUGCAUAAACGCUCUUCCUCACCCAAUCAACAGUUAUAACCAAUCGGGGUGAGGGGUAAAAAACAGUAUUAAACAUCCCAGCUAGGGAGAACAAAUCAACAAAAUAAGUCUCGGCAAGGGUACCACUAUAUCUCAAAUAUCCAGGCAAGGGAGAAUACAUAUAAUACUGAAAUCACGGUAAGUGAGCAAUAACAAUUAUAGUCUACACGUCCCAACAAGGGAAUAAUUAUAACACUUUCUACUUUGGUCACUUCUUUUCCAAUUACCAUAUUCUCGUUCGAGCCAACGCUCCAAUAAUGUACAAAUCAUAAUUCUUCCUCAAACCUUUCACAUUAUAUGAAACUUAUUAAUUAAACCUGGCACGUAUAUUAAGGAUAUAAAGAGUUCCUCGGGAUACCGAGAGAUACCCUGGGCACAUAUAUUGAAUAUACCAAGAGAUACUCGGGAUACCAAGAGAUCCCUAGCAUAUAGUGAGGAUACUAAGAGAUUUUCGGGAUACCAAAAGAUCCCUAGCAUGUAUUGAGAAUACCAAAAGAUCCUCGGGAUACCAAGGGAUCCCUGGUUAUAAUCCUUGUUAUGAGUGGUACUUCCUUGUGGUUUGCCUUCAUCUCUCUUUCCGUUAUUGUACUCUUAUUAUCCUAUGUAGAUUUUUACUGUAGAUUCUCAAUUGUACAGCUCAUCUUAUCUUGUUAUUUUUAUAUUUAUUUAAUCUUAGUACGACCCUGACCUUCCUCGUCACUACCUAACCGAGGUUAGGCUUGACACUUACUGAGUACUGUUGUGGUGUAGGCAUGCCUCUUAUGCACAUGUCUUUGAUAUCCAUAUCCAUGUACCGCUACUCAGGCAUAUCAUCCUUGAGGAGGCGACUGCUCUAGAGACUUCGAGGUACAUUUGCCGCGUCUGCAGACCGAGAAGUCCCUUUCUAUUCCUACUUUAGUAUUUAGC
rnacentral:lncRNA from 1 species